AUCACUUCUCUGCCUUUUGGCUAAGAUCAAGUGUAGUUAGUAUCUGUUCUACUUCUAUCAGUUUAAUAUCUAAUACGUCCCCAUAUAUUAAAUAGAUUUUUAUAUCCAGGAGAUGGAAAAAGGGCUUGCCCCGUCCACUCCGCACAUCAACCUGGUAUUGCAGUACCACCAGGAGUGGUGCGUCAACC
ensembl:snRNA U2 U2 spliceosomal RNA